rnacentral:rRNA from 1 species
GACGAACGCUGGCGGCGUGCUUAAUGAAUGCGAGUCGAGCGAGAAUCAGGGGAGUGCUUGCACAAUCCUGAGGACAGCGGCGAACGGGUGAGUAACACGUAGGUAACCUGCCCCUCAGCCGGGGACAACAGUGGGAAACCGCUGCUAAUCCCCGAUGGUCUGUGGCUUCUGAAGAAGCCACAGUAAAGGCUUCGGUCACUGAGGGAUGGGCCUGCGGGUCAUUAGCUUGUUGGUGGGGUAACGGCCUACCAAGGCGACGAUGACUAGCCGGUCUGAGAGGAUGAUCGGCCACACUGGGACUGAGACAUGGUCCAGACUCCUCCGGGAGUUAGCAUCAGGGAAUCUUGCGCAAUGGGCGAAAGCCUGACGCAGCGACGCCGCGUGAGGGAUGAAGGUCUGCGGAUCGUAAACCUCUGUCUAGAGGGACGAAUGCCCCACUUGGUGGGAGUGACGGUACCUCUGGAGGAAGCCCCGGCUAACUACGUGCC